UGGGGAAUCUUGCGCAAUGGGCGAAAGCCUGACGCAGCCAUGCCGCGUGAAUGAUGAAGGUCUUAGGAUUGUAAAAUUCUUUCACCGGGGACGAUAAUGACGGUACCCGGAGAAGAAGCCCCGGCUAACUUCGUGCCAGCAGCCGCGGUAAUACGAAGGGGGCUAGCGUUGCUCGGAAUUACUGGGAGUAAAGGGAGCGUAGGCGGACAUUUAAGUAAGGGGUGAAAUUCCGGGGCUCAACCUCGGAAUUGCCUUUGAUACUGGGUGUCUUGAGUGUGAGAGAUGUAUGUAGAGCACCGAGUGUAGAUGUGAUAUUCGUAGAUAUUCGGAAGAACACCAGUGGCGAAGGCGACAUACUGGCUCAUUACUGACGCUGAGGCGCGAAAGCGUGGAGCUCAAACA
rnacentral:rRNA from 1 species